rnacentral:rRNA from 1 species
GAUGAACGCUGGCGGCGUGCCUAACACAUGCAAGUCGAACGUGAGAGGGUAGCAAUAUCCUUGAAAGUGGCGCACGGGUGAGUAAGACGUAGGUAACCUGCCCUGGAGAGGGGGAUAACAGCUGGAAACGGCUGCUAACACCGCAUAUUGCCAAGCUGCUGGGAAGCGACUUGGCGAAAACUCUGGUGCUUCAGGAGGGGCCUGCGGCCGAUUAGCUAGUUGGCGGGGUAAGAGCCCACCAAGGCGAUGAUCGGUAGCUGGUCUGAGAGGACGAUCAGCCACACGGGAACUGAGACACGGUCCCGACUCCUACGGGGGGCAGCAGUGAGGAAUACUGGGCAAUGGGCGCAAGCCUGACCCAGCAACGCCGCGUGGAGGAAGACGGCCUUCGGGUUGUAAACUCCUUUUACGGGGGAAGAGGAAGGACGGUACCCCGAGAAUAAGUCACGGCUAACUACGUGCCAGCCGCCGCCGUAAGAC